UGAGACUGAAAAUGAUCUCUGAUGUGACAAUGGUCUGAGGUCAGAUAACUGAGCCUAAAGCACUCGGGCACGUUUAGCUUAUCACCCGCUCUGCCCGUCAGCGCGGUGAUAAAACCCAUGUGCCAACACAC
ensembl:snoRNA